GCCAGAGUGGCGUAGUGGUUUGAGUAUUGGACGACGACUCUGGAGACCAGGGUUCAAUUCUCCGCUUGGCCA